GAGUUUGAUCUUGGCUCAGAUUGAACGCUGGCGGCAUGCCUUACACAUGCAAGUCGAACGGCAGCAUGAUCUAGCUUGCUAGAUUGAUGGCGAGUGGCGAACGGGUGAGUAAUACAUCGGAACGUGCCCUGUAGUGGGGGAUAACUAGUCGAAAGAUUAGCUAAUACCGCAUACGACCUGAGGGUGAAAGUGGGGGACCGCAAGGCCUCAUGCUAUAGGAGCGGCCGAUGUCUGAUUAGCUAGUUGGUGGGGUAAAGGCCACCAAGGCGACGAUCAGUAGCUGGUCUGAGAGGACGAUCAGCCACACUGGGACUGAGACACGGCCCAGACUCCUACGGGAGGCAGCAGUGGGGAAUUUUGGACAAUGGGCGAAAGCCUGAUCCAGCAAUGCCGCGUGUGUGAAGAAGGCCU
rnacentral:rRNA from 1 species